GACGAACGCUGGCGGCGUGCCUAAUACAUGCAAGUAGAACGCUGAAGGAGGAGCUUGCUUCUCUGGAUGAGUUGCGAACGGGUGAGUAACGCGUAGGUAACCUGCCUGGUAGCGGGGGAUAACUAUUGGAAACGAUAGCUAAUACCGCAUAAGAGUAGAUGUUGCAUGACAUUUACUUAAAAGGUGCAAUUGCAUCACUACCAGAUGGACCUGCGUUGUAUUAGCUAGUUGGUGGGGUAACGGCUCACCAAGGCGACGAUACAUAGCCGACCUGAGAGGGUGAUCGGCCACACUGGGACUGAGACACGGCCCAGACUCCUACGGGAGGCAGCAGUAGGGAAUCUUCGGCAAUGGACGGAAGUCUGACCGAGCAACGCCGCGUGAGUGAAGAAGGCUUUCGGAUCGUAAAGCUCUGUUGUAAGAGAAGAACGAGUGUGAGAGUGGAAAGUUCACACUGUGACG
rnacentral:rRNA from 1 species